CCCCAGCUGCCGCCAGAUGCAAGGCCGCUUCUAGCGGGGCUGCUCCGGGGGAAUGGGGCGGGUUUUGCGAGGGGCUUUAAGACACCCGCCCUAUUGUCUCCCUCCGCUUCCCCCCCAAAGCUGGAGACAGAGAUGGCUCCAACUCUUGUGGGGUACCCCCCCCCAAUGCUCCGGGGUGAACAGCUUUCAGCAAACAUGCUGGCUUGACUUGCGUGUGUGCCUCCGAAACUGUGGGGAUCGUGUACAUUUCAAAGCGACGGGAGUAUCAGAAUGGGACUGCCUGUCAGUGAUCUGUAAAGGAAAUGAAAGGCUGAAAAGUUGGUGGAAGAAGAUGAAAGAGAUUGCUCCCUCCCUUUGUCUACAGCCCCCAGACUGAGGCUCUCAGCUGCAGAAAUACAAAGUUCCCCAACUUGCAUUUCUUUCCUCACCCCACGAAAAAUAACUUGGUCUGUGUAGGGCAAUGAGUUUUCAUGGGCUUGCUCUGUAGUACAAUUCUCUAUGCCCAACCUGGUAAAUGGUGUGGGAUACCCUGUGAGCUACCAUAGCAUCAACUGAGGCUUUGAUCAUGGCCAUUUACGGGGCAAAGCAAAGAACUUCAGUGUCUACAGGGAAAGACUAGAGUCGAGUUACCAGGGACAUCUUUGGGGACACCUGCCCACUCUCUACUGGUCAGAAGAACAUAGGACCAUCUCAACUGAAUCUGAACAUCUAGUCAACUGGGAAUAAGAAUGGUAAUUCACACUAACAGAGAGUACUCCAGUUUUCAAAGUGGUUUCACAUGGUGUUUUAAGGAGGAAGAUACAAAAACAAUGCUCUAUUUACAGAGGACUUGAGGUUAAAGUCUGGUAUGAAAGUAGUAUUAACCCCAUUUUACAGUUAGGGAAACUGAGGCUGGGGGAAGUAACUUGCUCAAGGUUACCCAGAGAGGCUAAAAUCUGGGCCUCUUCUGGAACAAGGCUCUUUCCACCAAACUAUAAUCAUACAACAAACCCAGGUCUUCUGACUGGCCAGUCCCCCAC
rnacentral:lncRNA from 1 species